UACGGGGGGGGUAAGCGUUGUUCGGAAUUACUGGGCGUAAAGGGCUCGUAGGCGGCCCACUAAGUCAGACGUGAAAUCCCUCAGCUUAACUGGGGAACUGCGUCUGAUACUGGAUGGCUUGGAUUCGGGAGAGGAAUGCGGAAUUCCAGGUGUAGCGGUGAAAUGCGUAGAUAUCUGGAGGAACACCGGUGGCGAAGGCGGCAUUCUGGACCGAUAUUGACGCUGAGGAGCGAAAGCCAGGGGAGCGAACGGG
rnacentral:rRNA from 1 species